AUAAAACACAACACUGAGCGAGAUGUGAUGCACACUCCUCUAUUCUGCCCAGGGGUGGCCUUGGAGCGGGGGGGGGGGGGGGGGAGCAGUCAAACAAGUGGAUGACCAAAGAACUUGACCAGAAAGAAAGGUUGCUCAUUCAUUGCAGCCUUUGAAAUCUCAGCCUUCUGAAGGUUAAUACUGGGGCCUGUUUACUGACAUAAGCAGGCUGAGAGCCCACCCACCAGCAGACGACAUCUGACCCAAUUCCAUUAUGUGAUGGUGUUUAAAACUAUAAUAGCCAGGAAAAUGUAGGGUAAUAACCCAAAGGUUAUACAUACUCCCAUGUGAGCACAACCCUUACAGUGGCUUUCAAGGAAACCCAAUAGCCAGAUGGUUUGUUUACAUUGACAGUGAGAGGAGACCGUUGCAUGAUGGGAGGGCUGUGGGGUUGACAGGAAGGUAGGAUUUUUUGAGUGUACCUAUCUUUCCCCCAGAUUCCCAUUUCUAGGAUGUAUGAUGGGUAAUCUUGUCAACUCAGGGAUCUAGAAAGAGUCUCUAGGCAGGACCCGUAAGAACGAGUUGGAUAUAGGAGUAGGGAAGACUAUGUUCGUACAUGGGUGUCAGUAUUCCGUGGACUGCAGUCCUGAACUGGAUGAAAAGAGAAACCGAGGUGAGCAACCGGGUUGUGUAUCGAAACGACUGACUAUAAAUGUCACGUGAGCACGUGACUGACGCUCCCUGAGCCACGUCUUUGCCUAUCAUCAUGGACUGUACCUUCAAACCUGUAAGCCAAAAUAAAUUCCCUCCUGCUGCAGCUUUGUCACGAGUUUUAUAGCAGCAGCGAAAACAGUAAACAAGAAACCACCCCAAGCUACUACCUGUGCAUACAUCGAGUGAAUGAAAAUAUUUGCUACAGCCCUGGAUUUGCUGGUGUGCAGCGCUCAAAGACACGGGUCAUCAUCCUGGCUUGUGCCGCAUUGAAGAGCAAAGCAUCGCUGUGUAGAGUCAGAACCAAGAGAAACAGCCACGCAGCACUCGGUGGGUCAAUAACUUUGGGAACAAAACCCUGUUAUACUUCAGCUCUCGCUGAGACACCACCCUGAGCAUUAGCAAGGGACAAUCUGGCUGUGAUACCAUCUCAUGCGAAUUUAAAAUAAGAACACCGUGACAAUUUCUGAGGCAUAAAGAAGGAUGAAUGGCGGUUAUGAAAUCUGAAAUGUAUUGGGUUUUGUGUUGGUGUUUUUGUCUAUUUUUUGUUAUUGUUUAUUCUUUUAUUUUGGGGGGUUGUUUUUGUUUUGUUUGUUUGGUUUUUCUUGUUUCUGUUAGAGAUGGGGUCUCAUACAUCCCAAGAUGUUAUUCAACUAGCAACACGGUAAGAAUAACCUUGGACUUAGAAUCCUCCUGCCGCUGCCUCCUGAUUGCUGAGAUAAUAGGCCAGCAACAGCCAGCCCAGUUUCUGAGGUGCUAGGGACUGAAGCCAGGACUUGGUGCACAGAUAAGAGCUCUGCCAACUGAACCCGAUCCAUUGUCCACUCCUGGGGGAAGCCUGCUUUUCCUGGGACCUGGUCUAAAACACUGCAUUCUAUUGUCCUCCAUGAUUCAGACAUCCUUAAGAACCCCCGCUCUGACAGGUUAGCUAUUUCGUCUAUUAAAAGAUAACAACUUUACCUGUAAUGGUGUUUCUAAAUGGCAGUCACAAACAUGGAAAUAUUACAAGGCAGCUCCCCACAACGAUGACACGGAGAUUUUUUUUUUUAAUCCAAAACAGCGUGUGAGGAUUAACAAACUAUCGUGUGAUCAAUAAGUUCUGACUAUUUAUCUCGUUUCUAAGUCUAUCUUGAUCGGCUUCAAUGUUAACGCACCGUGCUGCGUAGUUUAGGAUUUAUUUUUUCAUUUUAUUCUUUUUUUUAUUAAUUAGGUAUUUUCUUCAUUUACAUUUCCAAUGCUACCCCAUAAGUCCCCCAACUCUCCCCCCACUUCCCCCCCCCACUCCCUCUUCUUGGCCCUGGCAUUCCCCUGUACUGAGGCAUAUAAAGUUUGCAAGUCCAAUGGGCCUCUCUUCCCAAUGAUGGAUGACUAGGCCAUCUUCUGAUACAUAUGCAGCUAGAGACAAGAGCUCCAGGGGGUACUGCUUAGUUCAUAUUGUUGUUCCACCUAUAGGGUUGCAGACCCCUUUAGCUCCUUGGAUACUUUCUCUAGCUCCUCCAUUGGGGGCCCUGUGAUCCAUCCAAUAGCUGACUGUGAGCAUAGAUGUUCACGACCAGUGUUUACAGAUUUCUGUGUUUGUUAAUCAGAAAAAUGAUUAGCACACAUGUACUUAAUCCCUCAGAGAGUCAGCAGUAAGCAUCUAACAUCUGAUCUGCUGCUGCACUGAGUGCAGGAAGUAGGUAAUACCUGCACACUCGCCCUGUGAGUGAUCUUGAUCAUGGUCACAUCCUUUCUUUCAGUGGUCACACCCUUGAUUUUAGUUCUGGUUUCCUAACAGCAGCUACAUUUUCCUGAUUUAGGGCUCACACUGGUAAGAAAGCAGACCCACAGUAGUAUCCGUCAUUGCCCAUUUAAAGCUUCCUACUGGAUUUUUUUUAUAUAGCUUCUGUUGUCAUAGAGAUAACUUUGCUAUGUAGGUGAGGUGCUUGCUGGGAAACAUGGGGAGCUGAGUUUAGAUUCCCCCAAACCCACAAUCAAGCCAGGCAAGAGAUUCUACUGCAGUGCUGAGGGGAUGGGAACAGGUAGGUAUGGGGUGGGGAAUGGGUUUGUGGGGUGGGGGGUGUCAGCUGCUUUAGAUGGAAUGGUGAGCUUCAGGCUCAUAUAAAGACUUUGUCUCAAAAAGGAGAGUUGAAGGCCAGUUAAGGGAAGAAGUGGCAACAUCAAGCUCUGGCCUUUACACAUAUACACACACAGAGAGAGAGAGAGAGAGAGAGAGAGAGAGAGAGAGAGAGAGACAGAGAGAGAGACAGAGAGAGAGACAGAGAGAGAGACAGAGAGAGAGACAGAGAGACAGAGAGACAGAGACAGAGAGAGAGACAGAGAGAGACAGAGACAGAGAGAGACAGAGAGAGAGAGAGAGAGAGAGAGAGAGAGAGAGAGACUGUUCUGACUGUGACCUCUCAGUAACUCACAGCCCUGUUCCAUCAUCUGGCUCCUUCCUUCAUGGCAUGUGCCUAACCACUUACGCCUUGGUGUCUGAGAUGUGAGAAGUUCAAAGUUCAAAUGGAGGAAACCCCAGUGAUGUCCCCUCACUGAGAUUACCAGGAAUAACGAGCAUUUGCUUGAGUAAAGCUCCUGUGUGCCGGAUAGUUCUUUUACGUCGAGUUGACAUGAGCUAGAGUCAUCUGAGUGCAGGAAACUCAAUGAGAAAAUGUUUCCAUCACAUCAGGCUGUAGACAAGCCUAUAGGACAUUUUCUUAAUUAGUGACUGAUGAAGGAAGGCCCAGCCCAUUGUGACCAGACCCAGCCUUGGACUGGUGAUCCUACAUUCUAUAAGAAAACAAGCUGAGCAAGUCAUGAGGAGCAAGCCAGUAAGCAGCCUCCCUCCAUGGCCUCUGCAUCAGCUCCUGCCUCAUCCCUCCUCUUCGAGUUCCUGUCCUGACUUCCUUUCACGGCGUAUACGGUUGAAGUGUAAGCCGAAUAUACGCUUUCCUCCCCAACUUGCUUUUCGUCAUGGUGUUUCAUCAAACCCUAACUAAUAACAUGAAAGGUCUCAACACAUGGCCUCUCUGAUUCACAGACCCACAGCUUCCUGAAGUCAAGCCAAGCUUUGACUCUUAAAUCUCCCAACAACCAUGGAAGGCAAACAACAGAACCUGCUCUCCUUUCCAGAUAAUAACCCCCACACACAGAGGGUGAAGCAGCAAAGAGGAGACAGCGGUGGAAUCCGACCCCAGGCCACCUGCACGGAUCCAGGUGGCUCUUCACAAUCUUCCUUCUCGGCUCCCUCCGGGAAAUUUUGUGAAUAGCUUUUGAAUUUAACCAAACACUGGAGUUGAACACCUUGGUAAAUGAAAAUAUGGUGAGCAGAGCAAGGGACUGCUCAAUGCUGGGAGUUCAAAGUCAAUCUAGGCAACAUAGAGAGACCGAGUCACCGACAAACAGCUUACAUAUAGGAGAGUGUAAGAAGCACACAAAGCAAGCAGUCGUGUUUUAAAACUUAAAAGAAUAUCAUAGAGUCCUGCUUUUGGAACCAGAGGCAAUAUGAAAGACUGAAGUCGCUAGCUUUUAUUUAAUUUCUAAACCAAACCAAACAAAACAGAACAAAAAGAGAGGUACCACCACCCUUUGCUAUCUUUGAGUGGAAAUAACCAGUUAAAAUCGCAAAGCUCUACAUAGAGAACGCCCAACACAUUUAAAAUUGCAUAAGGAGUCCCAUUCACCUUGAGGGAAAAUUCUUCCUUUUCUUCCUGAGAGAAAGAUUUCCCAAAGUCCAUAUUUGAAAGCAUUCAGUGAAAAUAUGUAUAACAGCUGAUAAGACGUGUUUUAAUCCAUACAAAACUGUUUUAUUUAGUCAAUUAAUCCGAAGCCUAUUCUUGCAUACCUUCCGUCAAAUUCUAAAUCAGAUAGUUCCUGAAAGGCCCAGGUCUUUAUUUAUUGAUCUCCUUUGCCUAAAACCCUUAGUUAAAUAGGGUAUGUUAAAUGCCCUAUUGGUUGUUACCAUUUCUCUCUCCAUUUCUCAAGGACAGCUCAUUCUUAAAAUACUACAGGAUCAGUAUAGUAACUCACACCUACUCUAAAGGUCUUCCUUAGAUUUCGGUUAUACCAUAGCCGAAAGCAACUUGGAGAGGAGAGGAUUUAUCUGCUUGGGACUCACAGGUUGCAUCACAGAGGGAAGUCAGAGCAGGAACCUGGAGGCAGGAGCUGAGGCAGAGGCCAUGGCGGGGUGUUGCCUACUGGCUUGCUCUCCAUGGCUUGCUCAAUUUAUUUUCUUAUGUAACUCCAAACUGUCAGGCCAGGGUGGCACAGCACACAGUGGUCUAGGGCCUCCCACAUCCAUAAUCAAUCAAGAGAAUGUUCCACAGCUGAGCCCACCAACCAGGAGGCAAUUCCUCAACUGACAUUACUCUCCCCAAAUAUAUCUAGAUAUGUGUCGAAACAAACAACUCCAGCAUACAAACAUACAACAGUGUCCAAUCAGGAAGCACUUCGCAUUCAUAAGUUCAUUUCUGGUUUUGUUUUGUUUUGUUUUGUUUUGUUUUGUUUUAGACAAGGUUUCUUUGUAUAGCCCUGAGUGUUCUAGAAUUAGCUAUGUAGAGCAGGUUGGUCUUGAACUCACAGAGAUCUGCUUGCCUCUGCCUCCCAAAGUGCCUGGAUUAAAGGCAUGCACCCAUCACCACCAGCUAUAGGCUCCUUGCAGUCUUUCAGUAAUCUUGAUAUGAACAGAACAUUAUUUUAUCCACUACUUUUUACAUGAGUUUGUGGGCAUAUGUGUGUGUAUGUGUUGUGUGCCUGCAUCACGCUCACGUGCGUGCAGGCCCCUGUGUGUGAAAUUGGGGUGGGGGAGGGGGCAGGCUGUGUACUUUCAUUUGUCAGGAACCCACACCUGGCUGGUCAGCAAGCCCUGGGUUUUCCUUUGUCUUUCUGCUUUGCCAGUACUGUGGUUAUUCCAAAUACAUCACCAUAUCUGGCUUAAAAAAAAAAACAAAAACAAAAAAACAAAAAACAAAACAUGGUCUCCAGGGAAUCAAACUUGGAUCCUCGAACCUUGUGAACACUUCACUGGUUAAUCCAUAUCCCCUGUCCUUAUUCCCUAUUUUUAUGGAUAGGAAAAUUGAAAAUGAAAGAAUGUAUGCUUCUGCUCAAUCCACACCUUGCUACAUUGUAUCAGUUGUGCACAGAGCACAGAUGUGCAGCCCCUCCCUGCACAGAGCACAGAUGUGCAGCCCCUCCCUGCACAGAGCACAGAUGUGCAGCCCCUCCCUGCACAGAGCACAGAUGUGCAGCCCCUCCCGUCCCACAAAGUCAGUACCAGAAGCACUUGCAACUCCAAAGGGGAUCAGGGGAGAAAGGGGGUCUCAGUUACAAAUAAGAGACAUUUGCUAAUCAAAUGUUGUCAUACGCAGGACACAGAGAAGCUAGUAUUAGGGUUUACUGUUUGACUCUUAUUUUACAAGACUGUCAGCACUAUGUCUCCCCUCCCUUUAUUUUCAAAUAAUGUAUACAUAGCUUAAAGAUCACUUGUUUUGUAUCCACAUCAGGACAAAGCCUAAUGGUAUCCUUAAUACUUAGAAACGUAGUUGAAUUAAUGCUCAUAGCCAUUUUAAACUCAUCAAUACACAACUACAUUCACAAUAAGAUAUUUUCAACUUCCCAGAAUUCUCAUCAAUUUGGGCACUGAAAUUGGAUUCUAUGGAGGAUUAACACAUUUCAUAUUCGGUUAAGGAGAAUGGAGAUUUAACACUUUCCAUAUCAAAUCUCAGUAUUGUCCUCAUGCUUGACUAAGUUUAGACAGAUAAAUACAAAGAGAGCAGUAAAGAAAGGCAUCACCAGAAGACAUCCUGAUAAAGAGCUGCCUGCCUGCCCUGUGACAAGCCUCCAGGUGAGCCGGGCUGCCAGUGGUAACUGCGGGUUCCGAAUGGGACGCUAGGGGGCGUGUUGCUCCGGGCGGACUGCACAGGUUCCCGUGAGGAGCCGGUGACCAAGGAGGAGUAGAGGACAUGGGACCUCACUUGAGAAAAUAAGCAACAGCACUUACUACAAAGAAGCUUUGCUUUUGCGAAUUCACGCCACGAAGUAGCAAAACUAUUCAAUGAUCCCCCAUCCCAUGAGCAACACGGCCACCUACAUGAGGAGCUAAGCCAUGCGGGAGGCACAGCAAAUCUGUCUAUUCUCAUCAUAGGAUGGCAAAAGAUUAUGAAAUAUGUAUCAAGUUAUGUAGGAUGACCUCAAGAAAUGGCAAUGAAUAAAAAAAAAAUUGUGAGAAAUCUCAAAACCUUGGCCGGCAAGAUGGCUCAGUGUCUACAAACAAUUGCUGCUCAAGUCUGAUGGCCUGAGAUGGGGGCCCCAGAGCUCACGGAAACACCAAAGAGGAGGCAGACAUCUAUAAUCAAGCACUGCUAUAGGAAGAUCGGAGACAGGGACAGGAGAAUCAUCCAGAAGGUCGUGGGCCAGCCUGGAGUCCAUGAACUGGCAGAAACAAGAGAGACCCUACUUCAAAAGGAGCUAGAGGAGAAAGCCAACUCUCAAAGGCUACCCUCUGACCUCCACAUGUGCAUGCUGUGCGACACAUGCACCAGGAAAAAAAAUAUGUGUGGGCACGUAUUCGUGCACACAGACAUAGACACACACAGACACACACACACCAAUAUUUUCAAAUAAAAAAAAAAGAAAGAAACUCAGAAUGGUACUUAGGAUAAUUUUUCUUACUAUUAGCAUUUUAUUAUCAUGAAAAGGCCAAACUUUAUAAUAUCAUCUUCACAACUGACCCAUCCAAAUGUUCAGACUUAUUAUCAAGCAAAAAACAGUCUAUUAGAACAUUUGCAGGGGCAAAAAUAAAAGUUCCUAUAAGAGUGAAUUCAGUUGCUUCAUGGCCCUCUGACAUGGUGUCUGGUACCAGAGUACAACUUUGUUGGCAUGUACCAAGGAAACAACCACACUAGUUUGUUACCUGUCCCACGUCCAGAGCUCUAUAGAGCUCCACUACACACUCACUGAAGCACUUGCAAGCUCUUGAGUACAGAGCUUUUCAGAUCUUUAGCGAGGACAUGCAGAUAGUAUACACGUCCCCAGACAUGUCUUAGCGCAGCAUAAGCAAAAUAUUUCCACAGGAAAACACACAAGUAUUCACACUAUGUAGGAUAAACAUGGACUAUAAAUAGCUUCACAUAAGGUCAGAUUGGGUUUUGCUACUAAAUGAGUUCAGGUCAGGUCAGAAUUUGCUACCAAGUUCAAGGAAAAGAAAUUCCUUUCUGCCUUCUGGCUUUUCCAGAUGUGGAGAAGCACCUGUGAGCCUGCACUGCACCAGGCUGCACUUUAAAGCCUAUACACAUUCUCUUCCCCCAAGCUUCUAUGCAUGAAAUAACCUAUGCAAAGUGUCUUCUGUUUUCUUUUUUAAAAUUAAUAAGAAAAAAUCUCCAGAGGGGGAAAACACUCACUUCAGUUUUGGAUUUUGAAAAAGGUAGUGACUAUGCUGAGGACGUAAUAUUUUGUAAAAUUCUGUAAGUAAAAAAAAAAAAAAAAACUAUA